rnacentral:rRNA from 1 species
GACGAACGCUGGCGGCGUGCUUAACACAUGCAAGUCGAACGGAAAGGCCCUGCUUUUGUGGGGUGCUCGAGUGGCGAACGGGUGAAUAACACGUGAGUAACCUGCCCUUGACUUUGGGAUAACUUCAGGAAACUGGGGCUAAUACCGGAUAGGAGCUCCUGCUGCAUGGUGGGGGUUGGAAAGUUUCGGCGGUUGGGGAUGGACUCGCGGCUUAUCAGCUUGUUGGUGGGGUAGUGGCUUACCAAGGCUGUGACGGGUAGCCGGCCUGAGAGGGUGACCGGCCACAUUGGGACUGAGGUACGGCCCAGACUCCUACGGGAGGCAGCAGUGGGGAAUAUUGCACAAUGGGCGGAAGCCUGAUGCAGCAACGCCGCGUGCGGGAUGACGGCCUUCGGGUUGUAAACCGCUUUCGCCUGUGACGAAGCGUGAGUGACGGUAAUGGGUAAAGAAGCACCGGCUAACUACGUG